rnacentral:rRNA from 1 species
UACGUAGGGCGCAAGCGUUGUCCGGAAUUAUUGGGCGUAAAGAGCUCGUAGGCGGUCUGUUACGUCCGCUGUGAAAACCCAGGGCUUAACCCUGGGCUUGCAAUGGAUACGGGCAGACUAGAGGCAGGUAGGGGAGAAUGGAAUUCCCGGUGUAGCGGUGAAAUGCGCAGAUAUCGGGAGGAACACCGGUGGCGAAGGCGGUUCUCUGGGCCUGACCUGACGCUGAGGAGCGAAAGCGUGGGGAGCGAACAGG